rnacentral:rRNA from 1 species
GAUUUCUGGUUGGAUGUGUUUAGCCCGCCAUGGUUUCAUGUGUGAGUGCUGAUACUCAUCUGCCAUCCUUCUAGCGUCAAUCGUCUCUCUUCAUUGAGAUGGCGAUUGUGGCUAGAUCUUUUACUUUGAAAAAAUUAGAGUGUUUCAAGCAGGCGUUUGCUAUGAAUACAUUAGCAUGGGAUAAUAACUUAGGACUUCGGUUCUAUUUUGUUGGUUUCUAGGACUGAAGUAAUGAUUGAUAGGGACAGUUGGGGGUGCUAGUAUUCCGCGGCCAGAGGUGAAAUUCUUGGAUUCGCGGAAGACUAACUACUGCGAAAGCAUU